UAAAGUGUUGUUUGAAAUAUGAAGUAAUUACUAAGAACACUCCAAUAGGGUACAUUUCUGUUAAUUUUUUUUUUUUUUUUACUCCCAAGAAUCUAAAAGCAUUCAUACAAAUAACUUCUACAAACCGCAUUAAAAAAUAAUAAUAAUAAGUUCUACAAAAAUAUCAGAGGAGCCUUUUCAGUUAUAUUUCUGAUUUUCCUCAAAAACAACUGUGG
rnacentral:lncRNA from 1 species